rnacentral:rRNA from 1 species
AGCACUUUGCUUAGAUUCUUCGGAUGAAGAGGAUUGUGACUGAGCGGCGGACGGGUGAGUAACGCGUGGGUAACCUGCCUCAUACAGGGGGAUAACAGUUAGAAAUGACUGCUAAUACCGCAUAAGACCACAGCACCGCAUGGUGCGGGGGUAAAAACUCCGGUGGUAUGAGAUGGACCCGCGUCUGAUUAGCUGGUUGGUAAGGUAACGGCUUACCAAGGCGACGAUCAGUAGCCGACCUGAGAGGGUGACCGGCCACAUUGGGACUGAGACACGGCCCAAACUCCUACGGGAGGCAGCAGUGGGGAAUAUUGCACAAUGGGGGAAACCCUGAUGCAGCGACGCCGCGUGAGCGAAGAAGUAUUUCGGUAUGUAAAGCUCUAUCAGCAGGGAAGAAAAUGACGGUACCUGACUAAGAAGCACCGGCUAAAUACGUGCCAGCAGCCGCGGUAAUACGUAUGGUGCAAGCGUUAUCCGGAUUUACUGGGUGUAAAGGGAGCGUAGACGGAUGGGCAAGUCUGAUGUGAAAACCCGGGGCUCAACCCCGGGACUGCAUUGGAAACUGUUCAUCUAGAGUGCUGGAGAGGUAAGUGGAAUUCCUAGUGUAGCGGUGAAAUGCGUAGAUAUUAGGAGGAACACCAGUGGCGAAGGCGGCUUACUGGACA